rnacentral:rRNA from 1 species
CAAGUCGAGCGAGAAAGGGCUUCGGCCCCGGUAAAGCGGCGCACGGGUGAGUAACACGUAGGUAAUCAACCCUCGAGUGGUGGACAACUCUCCGAAAGGAGAGCUAAUACAGCAUGACGUUGCGACCUUCCGAGGUCGUUUCCAAAGCGGGCCUCUUCACGAAAGCUCGCGCUCGGGGAUGAGCCUGCGGCCCAUCAGCUAGUUGGUUGGGGUAACGGCCCACCAAGGCUAAGACGGGUAGCUGGUCUGAGAGGAUGAACAGCCACACUGGAACUGAGACACGGUCCAGACUCCUACGGGAGGCAGCAGUCGGGAAUCUUCCGCAAUGGGCCCAAGCCUGACGGAGCGACGCCGCGUGAGCGAUGAAGGCCUUCGGGUUGUAAAGCUCUGUGGGGAGGGAAGAAUAAGUUCAGGCAAAUACCCUGAAUGAUGACGGUACCUCCUUAGCAAGCACCGGCUAACUCUGUGCCAGCAGCCGCGGUAAGACAGAGGGUGCAAACGUUGUUCGGAUUUACUGGGCGUAAAGCGCGUGUAGGCGGCUUUGCAAGUCGGAUGUGAAAGCCCACGGCUCAACCGUGGAAGUGCAUCCGAAACUGCAUGGCUGGAGUCUCGGAGAGGAAGGUGGAAUGCUUGGUGUAGAGGUGAAAUUCGUAGAUAUCAAGCAGAACACCUGCGGCGAAGGCGGCCUUCUGGACGAUGACUGACGCUGAGACGCGAAAGCGUGGGGAGCAAACAGGAUUAGAUACCCUGGUAGUCCACGCCGUAAACGAUGAGUGCUAGGUGUCACGGGCUUUGACCCUCGUGGUGCCGCAGCUAACGCAAUAAGCACUCCGCCUGGGGA